rnacentral:rRNA from 1 species
ACGUAGGGUGCGAGCGUUAAUCGGAAUUACUGGGCGUAAAGCGUGCGCAGGCGGUUUUGUAAGACAGAUGUGAAAUCCCCGGGCUUAACCUGGGAACUGCGUUUGUGACUGCAAGGCUAGAGUACGGCAGAGGGGGGUGGAAUUCCUGGUGUAGCAGUGAAAUGCGUAGAUAUCAGGAGGAACACCGAUGGCGAAGGCAGCCCCCUGGGCCUGUACUGACGCUCAUGCACGAAAGCGUGGGGAGCAAACAGGAUUAGAUACCCUGGUAGUCCACGCCCUAAACGAUGUCAACUGGUUGUUGGACGGCUUGCUGUUCAGUAACGAAGCUAACGCGUGAAGUUGACCGCCUGGGGAGUACGGCCGCAAGGUUG